CAGUUCGGAUUGUAGUCUGCAACCCGACUACAUGAAGCUGGAAUCGCUAGUAAUCGCGGAUCAGAAUGCCGCGGUGAAUACGUUCCCGGGUCUUGUACACACCGCCCGUCACACCNUGGGAGUCGGGAAUGCCCGAAGUCAGUGACCUAACCGAAAGGGAGGAGCUGCCGAAGGUGGAGCCGGUAACUGGGGUGAAGUCGUAACAAGGUACC
rnacentral:rRNA from 1 species